GUUGAACGCUGGCGGCAGGCCUAACACAUGCAAGUCGAGCGGAUGAGUGGAGCUCGCUCCAUGAUUCAGCGGCGGACGGGUGAGUAAUGCCUAGGAAUCUGCCUGGUAGUGGGGGACAACGUUUCGAAAGGAACGCUAAUACCGCAUACGUCCUACGGGAGAAAGUGGGGGAUCUUCGGACCUCACGCUAUCAGAUGAGCCUAGGUCGGAUUAGCUAGUUGGUGAGGUAAAGGCUCACCAAGGCGACGAUCCGUAACUGGUCUGAGAGGAUGAUCAGUCACACUGGAACUGAGACACGGUCCAGACUCCUACGGGAGGCAGCAGUGGGGAAUAUUGGACAAUGGGCGAAAGCCUGAUCCAGCCAUGCCGCGUGUGUGAAGAAGGUCUUCGGAUUGUAAAGCACUUUAAGUUGGGAGGAAGGGCAGUAAGUUAAUACCUUACUGUUUUGACGUUACCGACAGAAUAAGCACCGGCUAACUCUGUGCCAGCCGCCGCAGAAAGAC
rnacentral:rRNA from 1 species